rnacentral:rRNA from 1 species
ACUCCUACGGGAGGAGCAGUAGGGAAUCUUCGGCAAUGGGGGGAACCCUGACCGAGCAACGCCGCGUGAGUGAAGAAGGUUUUCGGAUCGUAAAGCUCUGUUGUAAGAGAAGAGCGUUGAUGUGAGUGGAAAGUACAUCAAGUGACGGUAUCUUACCAGAAAGGGACGGCUAACUACGUGCCAGCAGCCGCGGUAAU